rnacentral:rRNA from 1 species
GACGAACGCUGGCGGCGUGCUUAACACAUGCCAGUCGAACGGAAAGGCCCUGCUUUUGUGGGGUGCUCGAGUGGCGAACGGGUGAGUAACACGUGAGUAACCUGCCCUUGACUUUGGGAUAACUUCAGGAAACUGGGGCUAAUACCGGAUAGGAGCUCCUGCUGCAUGGUGGGGGUUGGAAAGUUUCGGCGGUUGGGGAUGGACUCGCGGCUUAUCAGCUUGUUGGUGGGGUAGUGGCUUACCAAGGCUUUGACGGGUAGCCGGCCUGAGAGGGUGACCGGCCACAUUGGGACUGAGAUACGGCCCAGACUCCUACGGGAGGCAGCAGUGGGGAAUAUUGCACAAUGGGCGGAAGCCUGAUGCAGCAACGCCGCGUGCGGGAUGACGGCCUUCGGGUUGUAAACCGCUUUCGCCUGUGGCGAAGCGUGAGUGACGGUAAUGGGUAAAGAAGCACCGGCUAACUACGUG